rnacentral:rRNA from 1 species
UGGGGAAUAUUGGACAAUGGGGGCAACCCUGAUCCAGCGACGCCGCGUGAGUGAUGAAGGCCUUCGGGUUGUAAAGCUCUGUUGAGAGGGAAGAAAACAGUUGGCGCGAAUAGCUCCAGCUCUUGACGGUACCUCUUUAGAAAGCACCGGCUAACUCUGUGCCAGCAGCCGCGGUAAGACAGAGGGUGCAAACGUUGCUCGGAAUUACUGGGCGUAAAGCGCGUGUAGGCGGACCCAUAAGUCAGGCGUGAAAUCCCUAGGCUCAACCCAGGAACUGCACCUGAAACUGUCGGUCUGGAGUGGUGGAGAGGAAAGCAGAAUUCCUGGUGUAGAGGUGAAAUUCGUAGAUAUCAGGAGGAACACCGGUGGCGAAGGCGGCUUUCUGGACACUAACUGACGCUGAGACGCGAAAGCGUGGGGAGCAAACAGGAUUAGAUACCCCCGUAGUCC